UGCAGUCGAGUGGACAGAAGGGAGACUUGCUCCCGGAUGUUAGCGGCGGACGGGUGAGUAACACGUGGGUAACCUGCCUGUAAGACUGGGAUAACUCCGGGAAACCGGAGCUAAUACCGGAUAGUUCCUUGAACCGCAUGGUUCAAGGAUGAAAGACGGUUUCGGCUGUCACUUACAGAUGGACCCGCGGCGCAUUAGCUAGUUGGUGGGGUAAUGGCUCACCAAGGCGACGAUGCGUAGCCGACCUGAGAGGGUGAUCGGCCACACUGGGACUGAGACACGGCCCAGACUCCUACGGGAGGCAGCAGUAGGGAAUCUUCCGCAAUGGACGAAAGUCUGACGGAGCAACGCCGCGUGAGUGAUGAAGGUUUUCGGAUCGUAAAGCUCUGUUGUUAGGGAAGAACAAGUGCGAGAGUAACUGCUCGCACCUUGACGGUACCUAACCAGAAAGCCACGGCUAACUACGUGCCAGCAGCCGCGGUAAUACGUAGGUGGCAAGCGUUGUCCGGAAUUAUUAGGCG
rnacentral:rRNA from 1 species